UUCAGGAUGUGUUGGGAGUAAAGAGUCAACUAUUCACUUCUGCUACCGAAACAUCCUGAAUU
rnacentral:precursor_RNA from 1 species